rnacentral:lncRNA from 10 species
GGUUUCACUCUUUCACCCAGAUGGGAUUGCAGUGGCACGAUCUCGGCUCACUGCAACCUCCACCUCCCAGGCUCAAACGAUCCUCCUGCCUCAUCCUUCUGAGUGGCUGGGAUUACAGGUAUGUGCCACUACCACAGGGCUAAUUUUUUUUUGUAUUUUUAAUAGAGAUGAGGUUUCACUAUGUUGGCCAGGCUGAUCUCAAACUCCUGACCUCAAAUGAUUCACCUGCCUCGGCCUCUUGAACGACCAGUAUUACAGGCUUAAGCCACCGAACCUGGCUGAGAUCAGCUUAAUCUUAUCUGUCCUUGUUGUUUUUGUGGCUGUCCUUCUUAUUAUAAGCAUCGGUACUUCUAUCUUUCUUUUCCAUUCUAUCUUUACGAUGGUAUAGGAACAAAUGCUUUAUAAAACCCAAUGAACAAGAAAAUCAUCCAAAUAAUGACGCAGACUCUGCUUUAUUGACAAAGAAGGUGACGUUCCGAAAGGAAGUCAUUGGUCAGAAGACCAUGCAAAAUGAGUUUGCUCAAAAUAUUGAAUGCCACGUAUUGUAUGAAUGUCUGAAUUUGACAGAUGGGAGGUGACUUAGAGUUGUCAAUACAUAAUAUAUACAAGUAUAGUUUGUAUGAAAGUUGAACUUCAGAAAAUUUUAGUCUAAAUUUUACAUUUGCAUUUUACCACAUUAAGUCUAGAUUUGGUGGUAUGUGUAGAGGAAAAAAAGUUACAAAUAUCCCACCUAGAUUAUCUUGAAUGCCUCUGCUGUCAACUUUAAGGGCGACUUGUGGUGCUAUUCCUGACCUAAUAUCUGCAGAAGGCUGCAGGCUAUGGCCAUCGUGGGCUGGUGUGUAUUAAAAGAAGCUGGAGAUCGUGAAUUGGUUAAUGCAUAGUUGGUUGGAUGAAACUGCUUAAAAGCAGCUAUUUAAAUUCACAUCACCAGUCAAGUGACAAUGUGAAAGGGGUGAUUGUAUUAUCUUUAGCACUUGUUUACUCUUUUUGAGGUGAAAGGACAGGAGCAAACGCCUGGAUUCACUUUUGAAAACGAUGGUAGCUAUCAAGUUCUCUGAGUAUUCCUAUAAGCCCUCCCUUCCAAGCAGUAUGUCCUUCCUACUGAGUGGUUAUUUGAAAAGCUCAGUGAGGAAAAGCUCUUUGAACUGUAUUUUUUCUUUUCAGCUGAAUGAGAACAUCUGAAAGUCCAUCUCCCAUUUUCUUUCAUUGACACUAACUCACUUUGACAGUCUGUACCCAAUAGAACUAUAUAUCACAAUGUGAACUAGAGUUGGCCAGACAUUUCAAUGCUUACCAGCCCUGAACUCACAAGGCCAUUUUUAGCUUCUAGUUUGUUUGUAGACUGCUGUUCAAGGUAAGCUCCUAUGUAAAGUGACUGCCUUUGUUCUUCAUGAAAUUCAGUUUUAUUUCUUAGGCAAUAUAAUUUUUUGUUUUUUAUUACAUUGCAAAACACUUUAGGACUCCAAGAAAGUAAUUUUGCCUUAUUUUCCAUUCACUAUUUGUCCAUUUGUAAGUUUAUGACAAAACCAGAUGUCCAUCACAGCAAUGAGAAUCAGAUACUUGAUGAAUACAUAUAAAUUAUGCACAUAAAACUAGGUGCAGUUUUGUCCAUGAAGUACAUGUUCACUUGAGGCUUCAAAGAGUUCUGCUUUAUAUUCAUUUAAAUGAAUGGUAUAAUUUUUGCAUGAUUUUUCUUGAUACUUUUGAAAUUGUUCCAAACUUGAAUCCAUUACUAUUAGAUACUGUUUAUACCAUGAUAAUAUAAAAGUUAGAAUUUUGAUUAUAUAUGUGUUACUUCAUCUAUUGCUAGAGGAAAUAAUUUCAUGGCUUCAUAACUUGGUGGAAGAAAUUACAUUUGAAACAUGCAGCUUCUAUUCCUGUUUUGUCCUGUUCCUAAUUACAUUAUGACACUCUAUGUGUUCCCAAUUUGAACAAAUAGCUGUAACCUGAUGAAGCCAUCUCUGUCUCUAUUUUUCAGUGCCUAACAUUUGGGUAUUUAUUGAAUGCUUUGACUGACUAAAGCAUGGGGACUUUGUUAUAACAUGAGCUUUUAGUCUAAGCAAUUGUUUCUAAGCAAAGCCCUUAAAUGUAUUCUUUAAAAUACUUCAUUUUAUCUUAAUGGACGAGACACUGUUUGAGGAUAAAUAAUUCUUGCUUUUGAGCAUUUUAUCUUCUAGUGAGGAAUAAGCAUGUAUACACUCCAACAUAAUCUGUGCAGCACUGUGUUAUCAAGAGAAGGAAGUGGGUGGGGCACCACAAACAUCGCAAUGGCUUGGAAUAAAAUUCAAACUCCUUUCUUUAGCAUCCAAGGCCCAGAUCAGUGAUUUUCCUCUUUGGCUGAAGGUCAGAAUCCAACUCAUGAACUCCAAAAUCUGACGCCUAAACUUCAUCCCCAGAGAUUCUGAUUUAUUUCAAACCAAGGAGGCUUCGGUAGUGACUGGUGAGAGCGUGAGCCCAUCACAGUGGGUCUGUCCCCUUUGCUGAUCAUUCAGGUUGGGCAAGUGUCACAGUCCUGGCAAUUGAGACCUGAGUGAAGUUCUGCAGGGGAUCCUCUGGUAAAGAUCUUUUUGCUCUUAAAAAUGUAGACAAGAGAGUGAGCCCCUCCACCCUUAUACACCAACAUGGUCAGGUAUGAAAGGAAUCCCUGCAGCUGCAGUUACAUCUUGAGACAAUGAGGUUAGAUGGCCUAAUAGUGAAGAAUACUGGAUUUGGAGUCAAAAUCUGGCUUCAAAUUCCAACGCCGCCCCUUGCUAGCUACAUGGUCUUGUGUUAGUUGGCUAAUCUCUCUGUGCCUCAUUUACCCUUUCUGUAAAAUGUGUAAUAUUAGUGCUUAUUUCAGAGAAUAUUUGAGGAUACAUGAGUUAAUAUGUAUUUAAAGUUCCUUCAUUUGUAAAAAUAAAAAUAAGGGGUCAACUUCAUAGGACUAUUGUGAAGAAUACAUGAAUUAAAACAUAUCUGAGGUACUUAAACUAAGGCUGGCACAUAGAUAGUGUUAAUAAUUAUUAGCUAAAAACAAAACAAAAUAGUGGGAGGACAGAGCCAAGACAAUCUCAUGAAAGCGGAACUGAACCUUGAUUGUACUGAACUUGGGACCAUUCCUUUAUAUCAGAUUUUAAAAAUUUAUACUGUCAUCAUUUAAACCAUUAAAAUCAGAGUUUUCUGUGUGUCCUCCAGUGAAAGUCUAUUUUAUUUAUUUAUUUAUUUUUAGACAGAGUCUUGCUCUGUUGCUCAGGCUGGAGUACAGUGGCACAAUCAUAGCUCACUACAGCCUAGAACUCCUGAGCUCAGGCAAUCCCCUUGUCUUGGCCUCCCCAGGAGCUGGGAUUACAAGGAGCUACCACGCCCAGCCGUGAAAGUCAUCUUAACUGACAUAUUGCACAUAAAUGUGGAAGUGGUGGAACCAGUGUUCAUCAUAUAUGAGACCACUGGGGCCACAAGCUUCUUUCUGCAUGAUAAUUCAGUUUGGAGCCUGCAGGAGAAUGGAGUAAAACCUCUUAAUCAUACUGAACACUCUGCUUUCACAAGAAUGGAUAUUAGUAUUUUAAUUCAAUCCCCAACAGUUAAAUGUUCUCAAUUUUAAUGACCAAUAUAGCCAACAACAAUUAUAGGGCACAGCUCUGCAAGGAGACACUGUUAAUGCCCUAGAAUCAUGCAGGGCUUUAAGAAUCUUUAUCUCAGGCUAAAGCAACAGGGAAAGCUUUAUAUUUUGUUUCCUUCCAAAUCUAGCUCCCAUGACGAAAAUCUUCAAGUCCAGAACAUGCAGUGUUUAAUUAUCUAACAACUACUGAAUCUCAUUUGAGCAAAAACAAUUUGAUCGAUGGGUCCAGCUGUGACCAUUGUGUAGCGUGAAUUUUCUGAUCACUUUAAAAUGUUGGCUAUGCAGCUGUCAUCUGGAACUUUAGAAUGCACUAGCAUUAAAAUGCCACAGCUAUUUUACAGACCCGUCUGUAUCCAUGAGAGAGAUGACAUUCUUCAGGGGAUCUUCAGUAUACAAUUUGUUACAUAUUCUAGAGAUGCUGUAAUCAGUGUUAAUGUUUUCAUUUCUCUUAAAUUCCUGUAUUAGUGUUUCUGAGCAAUUUAGAAUGGGGUUACCUCAGGAUAGCUUUUGCCUAGUAAAGGACUAUUUGUUGAAGUUCUGUUUUGCUUCUCCCUACACAAUGCUGCUUAACAUGACUGAGACUGUGGAAUGGGAUUCUUGUUUUUUAUAUUCUCACAAUUCAUACUAAUGAUUAGGGAGACUAUGGGAGGAAGGGUCAGUACAGAAUCUUUCUCACCACAGCUGUCAGUUGGCAGGAGGACAAAGGGCAAGCCAGAAGGAGUAAGACUGCUUCUCUUUGAGUCAGGGAAGCAUGGAGAUGAUGCAGUAGCUGGCUCCAGGUUUGUAUUUGAGUCAUCUCUGAUACUUAGGGUACAUUAGUUAGUUUUAUCCCCAUCUUCCAUAGAAACUAUCUGCACUUCCCUUGCAGAAGUACAGGGGUAGGAUUAGAGAUAGUAAUUUCUACAGCAACUUAAGUGAGAAGAAGGAUCUGGAGUUUCCAAAUGGCCAAGGAAUGCAAGACAACUUUUUAAUAUAAAAUGAUUUUAAAUGAUGUCUAUAUCUUCCUUUUCUGUGCUGCAGUGACAUGCCUAUUCCCAAGUCUGCACAAAUAAAAGCAAUCUAAAUGUAAAGAGCAUAUAUUGAUAUCCAAUCCUGAACAAAUGGAUCAUUUAUUUGCUUUCAAAGUGACCUUUCCCAUUUUCAAACCAAAGGAGAGAAAAAUUAUCAUUUAGCUGGAAGUGUCUGUUUGACAUUAUAGGAGGGUGAAGAAAUUUUUUUCGGGCUACUUCUCUAUGGUAUCUAUAAACAUUAAUAGUGUGGUCCACUAUAUAGAAGUGUAGCUCUCUCUCUCUCUCUCUCUUUUUCUCUUUAAUCAUAUUGCUGCUGUAAACCCAGAAGAAAUCUGUAGCUAAUGAUAUGGUUUGGCUCUAUGUCCUCACCCAAAUCUCAUCUCAAAUUGUAAUUCCCAUGUGUCAGGGGAGGGUCCUGGUGGGAGGCGAUUGGAUCAUGGGGGCGGUUUCCCCAUGCUGUUCUUGUAACAGUGAGGGAGUCUUCAGGAGAGCUAAUGGUUUUAAGUGUGGCACUUCCCUGUGUGUCUGGAGUUGGUUCCUUCUGGUGGGUUUGUGGUCUUGCUGACUGCAAGAAUGAAGCCGUGGACCUUUGUGGUGAGUGUUAUAGUUCUUAAAGAUGGCAUGGACCCAAAGAGUGAGUGGUAGCAAGGUUUAUUGUGAAGAGUGAAAGAACAAAGUUCCCACAGCUUGGAAGGGGACCCGAGCAGGUUGCCACUGCUGGCUGGAGUGGCCAGCUUUUAUUCCCUUAUUUGUCCCCUCCCAUGUUCCGUUUUUGUCCUAUCAGAGUGCCCUUUUUUCAAUCCUCCCUGUGAUUGGCUACUUUUAGGAUCUGGCUGAUUGGUGUGUUUUACAGAGCGCUGAUUGGUGCAUUUUACAGUCCUCUUGCUAGCUACAGAGCGCUGAUUGGUGCCUUUUUACAGAGCGCUGAUUGGUGCAUCUUACAAUCCUCUUGCUGGACAGAAAAGUUCUCCAAGUCCCUACUCAACCCAGGAAGUCCAGCUGGCUUCACCUUUCAUUCUUUCUUUCACUGUCUGUCCUGCCACCAUAUAACUUGUGCCUUGCUUCCCUCUGCCUUCCACUAUGAAAGUUUUCUGGCCGUGUGCAGUGACUCACGCCUGUAAUCCUAGCACUUUGGGAGGCAGAGGCAGGCGGAUCACCUGAUGUCAGGAGUUCAAGAUGAGCCUGGCCAACAUGGUGAAACCCCAUCUCUACUAAAAAUGCAAAAAAUUAGCCAGACGUAUUGGUGUACGUCUGUAGUCCCAGCUCCUCGGGGAGGCUGAGGCAAGACAAUUGCCUGAACCCCGGAGGCAGAGGUUUCAGUGAGCCGAGAUUGCACCACUGCACUCCAGCCUAGGCGACAGAAACAUGCCGAACUGAGUCAAUUAAACAUCUUUUCUUCAUAAAUUACCCAGUCUCAGGUAGUAUUUUUAUAGCAGUGUGAGAACAGACUAAUACAGCCAGUUAGGAAUGUUAACGUGGGAACAGUUUGUGACCUUGACCAUCAUAGGCACUCAGCAAAUGCUAGCUGAUGUGUUCAGUAAUACUGAGAAAGAGAAUAAUUAAUUGUAGAGAUAUGUGGAAAGCUUGAUACCACAUAUUUUAGUGAGCAUUCAGACCCUUUUUUUUUUUUUCGACAGAGUCUCGUUCUAUCACCAGACUGGAGUGCAGUGGCAUGAUCUCGGCUCACUGCAACCUCCGCCUCUCAUGCUCAAGCAAUUCUCCUGCCUCAGCCUCCUGAGUAGCUGGGAUUACAGGCACUCACCACCACACCCAGCUAAUUUUAGUAGAGACAGGGUUUCAUCAUGUUGGCCAGGAUGGUCUCGAUCCCCUGACCUUGUGAUCCAAUCGCCUUGGCCUCCCAAAAUGCUGGGAUUAUAAAUGUGAGCCACCAUGCCUGGCCCAGACUUUUUUGUUAGGAAACCAUUCCAUGUGAAGUAGAAAAUCUUCUACAGUUGUCAGGGUUAUUUAUCCACAUAAAAUAUUUUGACCUUUGUUUUCUUUUAGCGAAACUGAAUUUUCCAAGUUUGACCUCCUCUGAUCAAUUGUAUCUUCAUCUCUUGUAGGUGACAUCAGCCACUAAGGAUUUUAGUUCUUUUUAUGUAGAGACAUAUUUUCUUGUUUUUACUAUUUUUCAGGUCUAAUGGUAAAAGGUUUAAACUUGUUUAUGUUUUCCAUUGAAAAUUACUAGGAAAGCAAUCCUAUUGCAAUGCAGCUGGUGCUGAUCUCAUGAGAAGUUCUGGUCAAAGAGAAGGAAUGAAAUGGUAUAGCUGUAAAGAAAACAAUCAAAUGGGCAUGUAGUUAAGUUUGGCUGGUAUCUCCAAGUUUGGGAUCAUAGUGAUUAUUGCAGGAAGAGAUCAAUAAAACAUAUUUCAAAAAUUGUUUUUGUUGCUUUUCCUUUUUAUUUCAGGAUAUAUGAUUAGAGGAUGGGAGGAGGUCACAAAGCUUGUAGAAAACUGCAUAGUUAGAAGUAUUCCUAGAGCAUUUCCUCUUUUUAUAAAAAUGCAUAAUAUGGUUAACAAUUACAAUGUUAAUUCCAAUUUUUCUUAGUAAACUAAAAGAAAAAUCACAUAGAAUGUAUUUUUUUAAGCAAAAGAGCAUUUAUCUGCUUCAAUCUCAAAGUGGUUUGUAUUUAACAUACGGAAAUUUUUGUUUUUAUAUUUGUUACCUAGAAGACUGUGCGGUUUUUGUGUCCUUUGCCUUGGAAAAAUUUUUUAUAAUUUCUAUGAUACAGAAAACUUUUCUAUAUAUUUAAGUGGUCAGUUGUAUUAUAUUUAUUCACACCUGCUUAUAAAAUCUUUUAAAAUGUCCGUAUACUGUAUAAAAAUCUGUCUUUCCCCUUCCAGUUGGUCAGGUACAGAAAAAAAAAGAAAUUUAAAAUAUAAAGAGGUUUAGGCAUCAAAGAUAGACUAAGAGAUGUAAUAUUUAUCUAGCAGAAGUUCCACAAGAAAAGACAAUGGAAAGAGGAUAAACUAAAUUAAAAGGAAUAAUACGUGAUUUUUCCAGACUGAUAAAUAAACAGUUCCUCAGAUAGAGAUAGAAGAAACAUGAGUCUUGAACAAUAAAUAGAAAAACUGCAGAAAAACCAAGAUGAAGGUAAAAAUAUUAAAAGAAGCAUUGAUGAACCAUAAAUUAUAAGCAAUGAUUCACAAGAAUUAUAAUUUGUCUGAAGCAAAUUUUACAUUAGCAAAAACUGAUUGUAGAAAAAAAAACCUUGACAAUACUGAGAGAAAAUGGCUAUCAACACAAAGUAUCAUUUAAUAAUGAGGCUAAAAUAAAGAUAUUUAACACAAUGGUGGAUUCUUAUCACUCAUAGAAUUUAUCUUAAAGAACCAUUAGAUGAUGACAUUUAUUAAGAAAAAACUCAUCCCAGAAAAGAGCUACGGUUUUUUUUUUUUUAGUUGAAGUCUUGCUCUGUUGUCAGGCUGGAGUGCAGUGGCCUGAUCUCAGCUCACUGCAACCUCUGCCUCCCGGGUUCAAGCAAUUCUCCUGCCUCAGCCUCCCAUGUAGCUGGGAUUAUAGGCGCAUGCCACGACACCGAGCUAAUUUUUGUAUUUUUAGUAGAGAUGGGGUUUCACCAUGUUGGCCAGGAUGGUCUCAAUCUCUUGACCUCGUGAUCCUCCAGUCUUGGCCUCCCAAAGUGCUGGGAUUACAGGCGUGAACCAGUGUGCCUGUCCUAUAGUUUUUUUUUUUAAGAAGAUAUAUUUACAUAAAUAUUUGUGUAAAAUAUAAUAAUUUAACAGUGAUAAAGACACAUAUGGAAUUUUGAGUACAUAGGGAAACUAAUAUACUAGGCAAAAAUUACAAAGAUAUGUGGGUCAAAGCAUUCUAAAACCCUUUUGUUGUUUAAGAGUAAAACAGAAAUAUUAUCAUACACCUUUAGGAAGUCAAGUAUGCACAUUAAAAUUUUAAGGGUAACAAAUAAAAGAAUAGGAUCUUAUAUAAAGUUAGAGUGAAGGUGAGUGACCUGAAAGGAAAAUCUAAUGAUAUUGUUUAGAAUGCACUAAAAAAUAAGCAUAUGUAAAAAUUAAAGAGAUUUUAAGAUACAGAGAUUUAGAAAGUUUAAGAAAUCGCUAAUUGAAGUUCCAGAGGAAUAGAACAAUAAAAAGAGAAAAUAUUUGAAAACAUACUGAGACUAUUCUAGAGUUGAUAAGAGAUUAUAAUUUGCAAAUUCAAGAAGUCAAAUAAUUAAAAGCAUAGCUACAUUGUGUAAGGCUAUAUUAUUAUUCCCAAAUACUUGCUACUCCUUCCUGCAGAGGAAAAUAUCUGUUCACCCAGUGGAUAUUGGGUGUGGUAACGUAACUUGCAUUAGUUAAUGAAAUAAAAGCAGAAGCAGCACAUGUCUCUUCUGAUUAGAGGCUUAGGAGCUAGCAUGUUUUGCCAUUCUUUCUUUUUCUUUUGCCGUAAUUACUGGAAAUGCCCUAAAUUAAGGCUCUUCUGUCAGCCUAGAUGUCACAUUAAUGGAACAUGGUGCAAAGCCAUGGGUAACUUGUAAUCGAUGUGUGGCAUAGAGGAGACAUUAACAUUUGUUGCUCUAUUUAUUGAUAUAUAUUUGAGAGGUUUGUUGUUAACACUUUUAAACUAGACAGCAGUUCUCAAUAGACAGAGAUUUUGCCUCUCAAGGAACAUGUCAAUGUCUGGAGACAUUUUUGGUUAGCACAGCUAGACGUUGUGGUGCUACUGACAUCUAGAGGACAGUGGCCAGGAGCGCUACUAAACAUCCUACAAGAUACAGGACAGCCCCCACAACAAGACUUUUUCAGCCCAUAAGAUGUCAUCGGUGCCAAGGCUGGCAACCUCUGAUCUAGCCUAUCCUAACGAUUUUAUAUACCCAGACACAUUAUAGUGAAACUGCAGGUCACCAAAGACACAGUGUUGUUAAAAGCAACCACAGCAAAUGGACUGAUUAUAAUAAAAAUACUAUAAAAAGCAAGAUAGGCUUCUUUAAGUUCCACAUUAUAAGCUUUUCAACCCAAGGACCAAAGUUGGACUCACACUUAGAUAGGAAAUUUUCGGUGAAAUGAACAUACAUAUAUCAAAACAUAAAAGAGAGAAAUUUGCAAAUUCAUGUGUCCACAUUAUUCCCGAGCCAGACUCUGGCUACUGUGUUGAUUGGUGUUGAAAAUUAAUGACUUUGUUGUAUUCCGUGAUAAUGUGCAGUCAUAAGAUAAAGCAUUUUAAGGUAUUUUCCAUUAUGUGACCCAUCAAUGAAAAAUUCAUUAUUUAAAAUCCCUGGGAAAAUUAAUAGAUAUACCAAUUACAUGCACAACAAAUGGAAAUAUAAAAAUAACCUUUAUAAUUCAUUCACUAUGAAUUAUUAUGUACUUUGGCCAAAGGUGACCAAUAGCCACAUAGAGUCAAGGUUUAAAUUUAUAAUUAUGAUUUUUUUUUAAUGUUGAUAUCAGGGAUUAUAGAGAAAAGAUAGCAAACAAAUUAAAGUUAUGAAGAGAAUACAAAGCAUGCAAUCCUGACAGCAUACAAAUUGGUUUCACAGAGCAUUUUGGUCUAGAUGUUAAUGAGAAUUUGUUGGACUAGUUUCAUCUGUGAUUUUAAUAGUCUUCAUAUAUUUAUUUUACUCCACGUAUUUUCUCACAGCACAGGUGUUGCAUGUAGGACAAGUUGACACAAUUAAUAGUUACUUUUCUCAGACUGACAGUUUAAAUAUAUCUUGUGAUCGAUAAUAACUGGACAUAUUACUUAUUUUCCAGAUGUCUUCAUGCAGUAUAAGAAAACGAGCAAAUAAAUAAAAUGGUUUUUUCCUCAACAACUUGAAAAAAAUUAAAGUAGAAAAAACUUUAUUUUAAUUUCAUUUUGUCUGUAUUUGAACCUAACAAUCACUUUCUGAAAUACUUCUCUCCCUUUUUUUUUUCAGAGACAGGGUCUCACUCUGUUGCUGAGGCUGUAGUGAAGUGGCAGAAUCAUAGCUCUCUGCAACCUUGCACUCCUGGGCUCAAGCAAUCCUGAUACCUCAGCCUCUCGAGUAGCUGGGACUAUAGGAAUACGCCACUGUACCUGGCACUCCAUAUUUUUCUAAAUGUUUGUUUCAGAUGAUGUUCUACCCAUAACGUACUCACUCAGUACCACAAAUUACUAUUUGAUAUUUUGUUUUCACAUUAAAAUUGUCUUUAUGAAAAACAAAUAGAACUGAAUUUUGUCAAGUCUUAAAAGUGAUCUCUAGAAUGCCUCUGUAUUCCAUUUGCAAAUAUGUACUACCAAGACUUUAUUUUGAGAAUUGUACUAUGAAAGCCUUUACAUGCGGUUGUCAAAGCGGUAAAUGAAAUAGGAUGUGCAGAAAAAGAAAACAUAAUAAUAGUAAUAAUAAUAAUAACAACAGCUCAAAGAGAGGUCUGGUCUUCGUUUUUAGUUACUUGGAAGUAACUUCUAAACACUUGGAAUUUUGAGAGUGAUUGGAAUGUCUUUGUUAUUCAUGGUAAUCCCCUCGUACCACAUCUGAUAAUUAAUGCCAAUGAGAUGACUCAGAAAGGAGCAAGCCAUGCCAGAAAGACAAAACGUAUGAUUGUAGUUUUGUCUAGUUUUGGAGUUUGGGGCCAAGUGAUAUCAGCCUCACCUCCCAGGAUUGGGGUGCUAGAGAUCAAGCUCAACUGUGUGGAUGCUGAUUCCAUUAAUCCUGACUAUGUAAUGAAACCCCAAUAAAAUCACUAGCCCCUAGAGACUCUGAUGAGCUUUCUGGGUUGCCAAUACUCUGGUCAUAUUGUCACACAUCUAUCUAUUUGUAGAGCUUAAUGCACGCCUGAUGCAAAGAGAGAUUCAAGUUUUGGGAUCCUCCCAGUUUCCAUCCUACGCAUUUUUUUCUUUAGAUGGUUCUAAUUUGUAUCCUUUGCUAUAAUAAAACUGUAAUUGUAAAUACAGCACUUCCUGAGUUCUAUGACUUGUUUUAGUGAACUGUUAAACCUGAGGGUGGUUGUGGGAAUCCCCAAAUGUGUAGCCAGCUGGUCUGAAGUGAGGGUGGCUCUGGAAACUCCCAAACUGUCAGUUAGUGUCUGAACUGAAGGUGAUAUUGUGGGGACAGUUCUCUUAAACCUCACAGUUGGACAGUCUCA